UACGUAGGGGGCAAACGUUGUCCGGAAUCAUUGGGCGUAAAGCGCGUGUAGGCGGCCCGGUAAGUCCGCUGUGAAAGUCCAGGGCUCAACCCUGGGAUGCCGGUGGAUACUGUCGGGCUCGAGUCCGGAAGAGGCGAGUGGAAUUCCUGGUGUAGCGGUGAAAUGCGCAGAUAUCAGGAGGAACACCAAUGGCGAAGGCAGCUCGCUGGGACGUGACUGACGCUGAGACGCGAAAGCGUGGGGAGCAAACAGG
rnacentral:rRNA from 1 species